rnacentral:rRNA from 1 species
GACGAACGCUGGCGGCGUGCUUAACACAUGCAAGUCGAACGAAGUGGCGAACGGGUGAGUAACGCGUAAUCAACCUGCCCUUCAGAGGGGGACACCAGUUGGAAACGACUGCUAUACCGCAUACUGAAGGAGGGGAUUGCGUGUGAUUAGCUAGUUGGAGGGGAAACGGCCCACCAAGGCCACGAUGCAUAGCCGACCUGAGAGGGUGAUCGGCCACACUGGGACUGAGACACGGCCCAGACUCCUACGGGAGGCAGAAGUAGGGAAUCUUCGGAAAUGGAGGAAAGUCUGACCGAGCAACGCCGCGGGAGUGAUGAAGGCCUUCGGGUUGUAAAGCUCUGUUAAUCGGGACGCGGUACCGGAAUAGAAAGCCACGGCUAACUACGUGCCAGCAGCCGCGGUAAUAC